GACGAACCGUGCGAACGUUGUUCGGAAUCACUGGGCUUAAAGGGCGCGUAGGCGGGCUACCAAGUCUAUGGUGAAAUCCUCCAGCUCAACUGGAGAACGGCCGUGGAUACUGGGAGCCUCGAGGGAGAUAGGGGCAGGCGGAACUGAUGGUGGAGCGGUGAAAUGCGUUGAUAUCAUCAGGAACUCCGGUGGCGAAGGGCGGCCUGCUGGAUCUCAUCUGACGCUGAGGCGCGAAAGCCAGGGGAGCAAACGGG
rnacentral:rRNA from 1 species